AAUAGCCUAACGGCUGAACCAGCAACUUGGAAGAAUGUAUAGCUAAGCUAAAUGUUAAAAAGAUUUUUUUUUUAAAAAUAAAAACAUAUUCGAUUUAUUCGUAUAAAAUUCUAGGUAGAGUUAUGAUAAUGACAUUAUCUAUCUAUAAGUCUUGACCAACAUGUGUGCCAGCAGUCGCGGUAAGACACUAAAGACUAGUGUUAUUCAUUUUAAUAGGUUUAAAGGGUACCUAGACGGUAAAUUAAGCCUUAAGGGUACUAAUUUAACUAGAGUUAGAUGUAAAGGUGCAUUAACGUACUAUUGAGUGUAGAGAUGAAAUUCUGUCAUACCAGAUGAUUGGCACGGGUUUAGGCGAAAGCAUCACCUUAUGUAAUAACUGACGUUGAGGGACGAAGGCUUUGUAUAGCAAAAAGGAUUAGGUACCCUCGUAGUCUAAGCAGAAAAUGAUGAAUGUCAUAGGUUAAAUAUUAUUUAGUCUAUAAAUGAAAGUGUAAGCAUUCCACCUCAAGAGUAAUUUGGCAACAUUGGAAUUGAAAUCAUUAGACCGUUUCUGAAACCAGUAGUGAAGUAUGUUGUUUAAUUAGAUGGUCCACAAAGAACCUUACCACAAUUUGAAUAUUUUACAAGCGUUGCACGGCUGUCUACAGUUAAUGUCGUGAGAUUCUGGUUAGUUCCAUUAAAUUAACGUAAACCCUUACUUUAUUUUAUUUUAUAUAAAGUAGUUCGCCGCUAUAUUGGUUAGAUAAAAGGGAGUAUGACAAGUCAUCAUGACCUUACAUAGAUAUUGU
rnacentral:rRNA from 1 species